rnacentral:rRNA from 1 species
GACGAACGCUGGCGGCGUGCCUAACACAUGCAAGUCGAACGAUGAAGCUGGAGCUUGCUCCGGUGGAUUAGUGGCGAACGGGUGAGUAACACGUGAGCAAUCUGCCCUUGACUCUGGGAUAACUGCGGGAAACUGUAGCUAAUACCGGAUACGAGGCUCGAAGGCAUCUUCGGGUCUGGAAAGAAUUUCGGUCAAGGAUGAGCUCGCGGCCUAUCAGCUUGUUGGUGAGGUAAUGGCUCACCAAGGCGACGACGGGUAGCCGGCCUGAGAGGGUGACCGGCCACACUGGGACGGAGACCCGGCCCAGACUCCUACGGGAGGCAGCAGUGGGGAAUAUUGCACAAUGGGCGAAAGCCUGAUGAAGCAACGCCGCGUGAGGGAUGAAGGCCUUCGGGUUGUAAACCUCUUUUAGCAGGGAAGAAGCGAAAGUGACGGUACCUGCAGAAAAAGCACCGGCUAACUACGUGCCAGCCGCCGCAGUAA